AGUACAUGCAAGUCGAACGCUUCUUUUUCCACCGGAGCUUGCUCCACCGGAAAAAGAGGAGUGGCGAACGGGUGAGUAACACGUGGGUAACCUGCCCAUCAGAAGGGGAUAACACUUGGAAACAGGUGCUAAUACCGUAUAACAAUCAAAACCGCAUGGUUUUGAUUUGAAAGGCGCUUUCGGGUGUCGCUGAUGGAUGGACCCGCGGUGCAUUAGCUAGUUGGUGAGGUAACGGCUCACCAAGGCCACGAUGCAUAGCCGACCUGAGAGGGUGAUCGGCCACAUUGGGACUGAGACACGGCCCAAACUCCUACGGGAGGCAGCAGUAGGGAAUCUUCGGCAAUGGACGAAAGUCUGACCGAGCAACGCCGCGUGAGUGAAGAAGGUUUUCGGAUCGUAAAACUCUGUUGUUAGAGAAGAACAAGGAUGAGAGUAACUGUUCAUCCCUUGACGGUAUCUAACCAGAAAGCCACGGCUAACUACGUGCCAGCAGCCGCGGUAAUACGUAGGUGGCAAGCGUUGUCCGGAUUUAUUGGGCGUAAAGCGAGCGCAGGCGGUUUCUUAAGUCUGAUGUGAAAGCCCCCGGCUCAACCGGGGAGGGUCAUUGGAAACUGGGAGACUUGAGUGCAGAAGAGGAGAGUGGAAUUCCAUGUGUAGCGGUGAAAUGCGUAGAUAUAUGGACG
rnacentral:rRNA from 1 species